rnacentral:rRNA from 1 species
AACGCGAAGAACCUUACCAGCCCUUGACAUGCCUCGUAUGGGGCCGAGAGAUCGGCUUCUUCGGUUCGGCCGGCGGGGACACAGGUGCUGCAUGGCUGUCGUCAGCUCGUGUCGUGAGAUGUUGGGUUAAGUCCCGCAACGAGCGCAACCCUCAUCUGCAGUUGCCAGCGGGUUAUGCCGGGCACUCUGCAGAAACUGCCGGUGACAAGCCGGAGGAAGGCGGGGAUGACGUCAAGUCCUCAUGGCCCUUAUGGGCUGGGCUACACACGUGCUACAAUGGCGGUGACAGCGGGAUGCAAGGGGGCGACCCUGCGCCAAUCUCGAAAAGCCGGUCUCAGUUCGGAUUGGGGUCUGCAACUCGACCCCAUGAAGUCGGAGUCGCUAGUAAUCGCGAAUCAGCAACGUCGCGGUGAAUACGUUCCCGGGCCUUGUACACACCGCUAGUC